rnacentral:rRNA from 1 species
AUGAUUUACAUUUGAGUGAGUGGCGAACUGGUGAGUAACACGUGGGAAACCUGCCCAGAAGCGGGGGAUAACACCUGGAAACAGAUGCUAAUACCGCAUAACAACUUGGACCGCAUGGUCCGAGUUUGAAAGAUGGCUUCGGCUAUCACUUCUGGAUGAUCCCGCGGCGUAUUAGUUAGUUGGUGAGGUAAAGGCCCACCAAGACGAUGAUACGUAGCCGACCUGAGAGGGUAAUCGGCCACACUGGGACUGAGACACGGCCCAGACUCC